rnacentral:sRNA from 1 species
AUUUUUUCUACAAAAACGAUCUGUCGCCUGUCAGGAGCGCCUUCGGGUGGCAAAUCAAAACUCCCGUAGCCUGAAAGGGUGGCUAAAAAUGUGUCCGGAAUUUCUUGACCGCUA